rnacentral:rRNA from 1 species
GAUGAACGCUGGCGGCGUGCCUAAUACAUGCAAGUCGAGCGAACAGACGAGGAUCUUUCUCCUCUGACGUUAGCGGCGGACGUGUGAGUAACACGUGGAUAACCUACCUAUAAGACUGGGAUAACUUCGGGAAACCUGAGCUAAUACCGGAUAUUAUUUUGAACCUCAUGGUUCUAUAGUGCAAGACGUUUUUUCUGUCACUUAUAGAUGGAUCCGCUCUGCAUUAGCUAGUUGGUAAGGUAACGGCUUACCAAGGCUACGAUGCGUAGACGAACUGAGAGGGGGAUCGGCGAAACUGGAACGGAGACAAGGUCCAGACUAAUAAGGGAGGAAGCAGUAGGGAAUAUUGGGCAAUGGGCGAAAGCAUGACGGAGCAACGCCGCGUGAGUGAUGAAGGUCUUCGGAUCGUAAAACUCUGUUAUUAGGGAAGAAAAAAUGUGUAAGUAACUAUGCACGUAUUGACGGUAACUAAUCAGAAAGCAACGGCUAACUACGUG